CCACUCCACCCAGCAUGGUGGUUAUGGCACUCGACUUGUAGUCGAGUGGGUUCGGGUUCGAAUCCCGAGUAAGGAAUGGA